GUACCACCUGUUGCCACCAGAGGGUUGACAACGCUCUGAAUGCGGCAUACGAUUAAAUUUCGUAAACAAUCUGUCAGCUGUGCGACAUGCGAUGCAAACGAACGGACGGAAAAAACAUCACAGCCAGAGUUGAAAAAAUUGCAUGUGGUUAUAAGAGCAUAGUUGUUGAAAUAGUCGGGAUAAUGAAUAAGGAAGUAUUUGAACGUGCUCUAAAACAAACAUGUCAAAAAUGUACAAGCUAUAUUUUACACGAAAAAAGAGUUACCUGUCAGAUACUCGUCAAAAAAUUACUCUACUAACGAGUCGGACCACAUGGCGAUUAUUUUGACCUUGGUGUGAGAAAAUUUGUAUGACGUAGAACAGCAUGCUACAUGGGACACAUUUCCAUUCCAUCAGUCGCGAAAUAAUAUGCAAUGCGACAGCAAUACGAGAAUAUGACCACUCUGGUAUGAUAUUGAUGAUAACGUAAUCAGUUAUGUAUAUCAUAUGGCAAACGUAUUUCACUACCUGAGUGUCAUUUGGCGUAAUUGUGAAAUCUAACUCGGCGACGAAAGUGCUACUUGGAAGACAGUAUCUAAUGUAGCCGAGAAAUCGUACAAUCGUAUGUAAUGUUCUCCAUCGGCUUUGAGAUAGACACGCACCUCGACCUUGCUCACCGAUUGGCAAGCAAGUAUCACAU
rnacentral:lncRNA from 1 species